rnacentral:lncRNA from 1 species
CGAACCCCAAAUCAAACCAAAUCAAAAGGAAAUUUCUUCGGAUCCGAACCAAAUUGCAAAAAUCAAAAGUGGAUUGCCUCGAACUCGAAAUAAAAUCCGAACCCAAACCAAACCAAAAUCAAAUACAGUCCACAAAUAAACCCAAACCCAAAACCCAAAUCAAAUCCAAAACCAAACCUCAUGGACAAAACCCCAUGAGCCACAACUAAAUCUCAUGGACCAAAUCCUAUGAACCAAAACCAAACCUCAUGGACCAAAUUUCAUGAACCAAAAUCAAAUCUCAUGGACCAAAUCCUAUGAACCAAAACUAAAUCUCAUGGACCAAAUCCCAUGAACCAAAACCAAACCUCAUGGACCAAAUCCCAUGAACCAAAACCAAACCUCAUGGACCAAAUCCCAUGAACCAAAACCAAACCUCAUGGACCAAAUCCCAUGAACCAAAACCAAACCUCAUGGACCAAAUCCCAUGAACCAAAACCAAACCUCAUGGACCAAAUCCCAUGAACCAAAACCAAACCUCAUGGACCAAAUCCCAUGAACCAAAACCAAACCUCAUGGACCAAAUCCCAUGAACCAAAACCAAACCUCAUGGACCAAAUCCCAUGAACCAAAACCAAACCUCAUGGACCAAAUCCCAUGAACCAAAACCAAACCUCAUGGACCAAAUCCCAUGAGCCACAACCAAACCUCAUGGACCAAAUCCCAUGAACCAUAAUCAAACCUCAUGGACCAAAUCCCAUGAACCAUAAACCAAAUCUCAUGGACCAAAUCCCAUGAACCAACCAAAUCUCAUGGACCAAAUUCCAUGAACCAACCCAAACCUCAUAGACCAUAUCCCAUGAACCAAAACCCAAACCUCAUGGACCAAAUUCCAUGAAUCAUACAUCCAACCUAAUACCCAUAUCCCAUAAACCAAUACCCAAAUUUCAUAAACCAAUACCCAAAUCUCAUGAACCAAUACCCAGAUCUCAUACCCAUAUCUCAUGAACCAAUUAGACUAUAAUACAUAGAGUUUAAUAUCGAUUAGGUCUUAACACAUAUACUUAGGGCCUAAUCAACCUCAAAUCCAACUGAAUCCUAAUACAUAUACUUAGGAUUCAAUAAACCGAGACGUGAUUC